AUCGGGCCAUGUAGUAGUUGCAAACGACAACACUGCUCCGGUUGCUAUCGCUGCUUAAUGCGGCAGGCGUAACCAUUUUAAAGUCCUGACGGCUUGAGCUCUGUCAGGCGGGGUUUGGGGCUGCACCUGGCAACAGAAGCGGUCCCGCU
rnacentral:tmRNA from 1 species